ensembl:misc_RNA Metazoa_SRP Metazoan signal recognition particle RNA
GCUGGGCAUGGUGGCGCAUGCCUGUAAUCCCAGAUCCUCCGGAGGCUGAGGCAGGAGAAUCACUUGUGCCUGGGAGGCGGAAAUUGCAGUGUGCCGAGAUGGCGCCACUGCACUCCAGUCUGGGAGACAGAGUGAGACCCUGUCUCAA